CUUGGUCAUUUAGAGGAAGUAAAAGUCGUAACAAGGUUUCCGUAGGUGAACCUGCGGAAGGAUCAUUACUAGAGCAAAGGAUAGACAGCACCCGCGGAGCUCGCUCCCGGGGCUACCCUACUCCGGUAGGGUUUAGAGUCGUCGGGCCUCUCGCAGAAGCUCGGUCCUGAACUCCACCCUUGAAUAAACUACCUUUGUUGCUUUGGCGGGCCGCCUCGUGCCAGCGGCUUCGGCUGUUGAGUGCCCGCCAGAGGACCACAACUCUUGUUUUUAGUGAUGUCUGAGUACUAUAUAAUAGUUAAAACUUUCAACAACGGAUCUCUUGGUUCUGGCAUCGAUGAAGAACGCAGCGAAAUGCGAUAAGUAAUGUGAAUUGCAGAAUUCAGUGAAUCAUCGAAUCUUUGAACGCACAUUGCGCCCUCUGGUAUUCCGGGGGGCAUGCCUGUUCGAGCGUCAUUAUAACCACUCAAGCUCUCGCUUGGUAUUGGGGUUCGCGGUUUCGCGGCUCCUAAAAUCAGUGGCGGUGCCUAUCGGCUCUACGCGUAGUAAUACUCCUCGCGAUUGAGUCCGGUAGGUCUACUUGCCAGCAACCCCUAAUUUUUUUAAGGUUGACCUCGGAUCAGGUAGGGAUACCCGCUGAACUUAAGCAUAUCAAUAAGCGGAGGAAAAGAAACCAACAGGGAUUACCUCAGUAACGGCGAGUGAAGCGGUAACAGCUCAAAUUUGAAAGCUGGCUCUUUUAGGGUCCGCGUUGUAAUUUGUAGAAGAUGCUUCGGGUGUGGCCCCGGUCUAAGUUCCUUGGAACAGGACGUCAUAGAGGGUGAGAAUCCCGUAUGUGACUGGGUGCUUUCGCUCAUGUGAAGCUCUUUCGACGAGUCGAGUUGUUUGGGAAU
rnacentral:sRNA from 1 species